CGGGGUGUGGCGCAGCCUGGUAGCGCGCAGCGAUCGGGACGCUGAGGUCCGCGGUUCAAAUCCGCGCACCCCGA
rnacentral:tRNA from 1 species